GCGGAGGGUGCGCGAUGAGCGCAAGCUGAAACUGAUGUUGAAGCUGAUGAAGGGGUGUCAGUUGGGGGUUCGAAUCCCUCCCCCCGCACCA
rnacentral:tRNA from 1 species